rnacentral:rRNA from 1 species
UUAGUAAGAUCUUGAAACUCAAAGAAUUUGGCGGUGUUUUAGUCUUUUCAGAGGAAUCUGUCCUGUAAUUGAUAAUACACGAUUUGUUUUACUUGAUUUUGUUAUCAGUUUAUAUACCGCCGUCAUAAGAUUAUUUUUAUUUAAGAAUGAAUUUUCUUGCUUUUUUAUUAGAUGAUAUGUCAGGUCAAGGUGUAGCUUAUGGUUAAGUAGAGAUGGAUUACAAUAAUUUUAAUUAUUACGGAUUAUUAAUUUUAGUUUAAUUUGAAGGGGGAUUUGAUUGUAAAUUUAUUUUUAAUUUUUAUAUUGAUUAGGGCUCUAGAAUGUGUACAUAUCGCCCGUCGCUCUCGUUAUUAAGAUGAG